UACGAAGGAUUCGAGCGUUAUCCGGAUUUAUUGGGUUUAAAGGGUGCGUAGGUGGACUAAUAAGUCAGUGGUGAAAGCCCGGAGCUCAACUCCGGAACUGCCAUUGAUACUGUUAGUCUUGAGUACAGUUGAGGUGGGCGGAAUGUGUCAUGUAGCGGUGAAAUGCUUAGAUAUGAUAUAGAACACCAAUUGCGAAGGCAGCUCGUUACACGAAUAUUGACUCUGAGGCUCGAAAGCGUGGGGAUCAAACAGG
rnacentral:rRNA from 1 species